AUUGAACGCUGGCGGCAGGCCUAACACAUGCUAGUCGAGCGAGUGGCGGACGGGUGAGUAUUGUCUGGGAAACUGCCUGAUUGAGGGGGAUAACUACUGGAAACGGUAGCUAAUACCGCAUACCAUCAGAUGUGCCCAGAUGGGAUUGGCUAGUAGGUGGGGUAAUGGCUCACCUGGGCGACGUUCCCUACCUGGUCUGAGAGGAUGACCAGGCAGAGUGGAACUGAGACACGGUCCAGACUCCUACGGGAGACAGCAGUGGGGAAUAUGGCACGAUAGGCACAAGCCUGAUGCAGCCGUGCCGCGUGUAUGAAGAAGGCCUUCGGAUUGUAAAGUACUUUCAGCGAGGAGGCGUUACUCGCAGAAGAAGCACCGGCUAACUCCGUGCCAGCAGCCGAGGUAAUAC
rnacentral:rRNA from 1 species